AUUGAACGCUGGCGGCAUGCCUUACACAUGCAAGUCGAACGGCAGCACGGGAGCAAUCCUGGUGGCGAGCGGCGAACGGGUGAGUAAUGUAUCGGAACGUGCCCAUUCGUGGGGGAUAACGUAGCGAAAGCUACGCUAAUACCGCAUACGAUCUAUGGAUGAAAGCGGGGGAUCGCAAGACCUCGCGCGAUUGGAGCGGCCGAUAUCAGAUUAGGUAGUUGGUGGGGUAAAGGCUCACCAAGCCGACGAUCUGUAGCUGGUCUGAGAGGACGACCAGCCACACUGGGACUGAGACACGGCCCAGACUCCUACGGGAGGCAGCAGUGGGGAAUUUUGGACAAUGGGCGCAAGCCUGAUCCAGCAAUGCCGCGUGCAGGAUGAAGGCCUUCGGGUUGUAAACUGCUUUUGUACGGAACGAAACGGCGAGCUCUAAUACAGUUUGCUAAUGACGGUACCGUAAGAAUAAGCACCGGCUAACUACGUGCCAGCAGCCGCCGUAA
rnacentral:rRNA from 1 species